rnacentral:rRNA from 1 species
CCCGGACCUCCACGGAGGGCUGCAGUAACGGAUAUUGCGCAAUGGGCGAAAGCCUGACCCAGCAAUGCCGUGUGCAAGAUGAAGCCCCUAGGGGUGUAAACUGCUGUCAGGGGUCAAAAAGCUGGUUUCGGCCAUUUGAUCAACCCCAGAGGAAGUCACGGAUAACUUCGUGCCAACAGCCGGGGUAAUACGAAGGUGGCAAGCGUGAUUCGGAAUCAUUGCGCUUAAAGGGCACGCAGGCGGAACAGUGUGUGUCGUGUGAAAUCCCCCGUGCUUAACCCGGGGAAUUGCACAGGAAACUGCUGUUCUUGAGGCAGGUAUGGGUGCAUGGAACUCUUGGUGGAGCGGUGGAAUGCGUAGAUAUCAGGAGGAACGCCAGAGGUGAAGACGGUGCACUGGGCCUGUCCUGACGCUUAGGUGCGACAGCGUGUCGAGCGAACGGGAUUAGAUACACCGCUAGUUCACGCAGUCAACGAUGUCUACUAGCUAGUGGUUGUUCUGACACACUCACGCCCGGAGCAAAAGUAUUUAGUAGACCGCCUGCGGAGUGAGUCCGCUAGCUUAAAACUCAAACGAAGUGACGGGGGCUCACACAAACGGUGGAGCAUGUGGAUGAAUUAGAAGCAACGCACAGAACCUUCCCUGGCUUGGACAUGCUUGUAUGCGUUCUCUGAAAGGACUUAGUCCCACUUCGGGUGAAACGUGCACAGGUGCUGCAUGGCUGUCGUCAGCUCGUGUCGUGAGAUGUCGGGUUAAGUCCUCUAACGAGCGAA